rnacentral:rRNA from 1 species
AGUAUGGGGGACAACGCGCGGAAACGCACGCUAAUACCGCAUACGCUCUACGGAGGAAAGCGGGGGCUCUUCGGACCUCGCGCUACUAGAUAGGCCUAUAUUGGAUUAGCUAGUUGGUAAGGUAAAGGCUUACCAAGGCGACGAUCCAUAGCUGGUUUGAGAGAAUGACUCAGCCACACUGGGUACUGAGACGACGGGCCGAG